CUCUUUUAGGCAAGCUAAUUUUAUUUUAACCGAGGGGUUUUGCUUCUUUCGGUUUGCAUUGUAUGUAAAAAAUAAGUUUAUUCUGAUUGUUUUCGGAUUGAAGAAAGUAGUCGUCUUGCAUUGUUUGGGUUUUGUUUCUUGUGACCAUGUUUGAUGCCUUGGAUUCUCAUCUGAAUUGAGGAACCAUAUCAGUGUCUAAAUUGCUCUCAUAAUCGAGAAAUGGAUGGUUCAUGGAUUGCACUGCAAUAUUAAUAGUAACACCUUUACUUCUCGAUCUACAUGUUUGUCUUUAAGAGCAUCUUUUUAUGCGAUCGUCAGACAAUUGUACGAAGAUAAAGUAUUGGAUUGGUGUGGGUGCAAGUUGUGCUGGAGAAAUUAUUUUGCUUAGUGCUUUGGAGCAUCAUCUUUUAAAAAACAUAUGGUAAAGUUAGAGAAAAAUGUUAGUUAUGUGCUUAUAUACUGUAAGGAUGCUUGGGCUGGUAUAUAUAUUUCCACAUAUUGUAUUGGUAGCCACAAACAUUUGUGUUUUA